rnacentral:rRNA from 1 species
CAACACUUGACAUGUCUGUCGCGGAUUCCAGAGAUGGAUUCCUUCGGUUCGGCCGGACAGAACACAGGUGCUGCAUGGCUGUCGUCAGCUCGUGUCGUGAGAUGUUGGGUUAAGUCCCGCAACGAGCGCAACCCACAUCCCUAGUUGCCAGCAGUUCGGCUGGGCACUCUAUGGAAACUGCCCGUGAUAAGCUGGAGGAAGGUGGGGAUGACGUCAAGUCCUCAUGGCCCUUACGUGUUGGGCCACACACGUGCUACAAUGGCAGUGACAAUGAGAUGCUAAACAGCGAUGUUAAGCUAAACUCAAAAACCUGCCUCAGUUCGGAUUGCACUCUGCAACUCGAGUGCAUGAAGCUGGAAUCGCUAGUAAUCGCUCAUCAGCGCGGAGCGGUGAAUACGUUCCC